GACAGAGGGUGCAACCGUUGUUCGGAUUUACUGGGCGUAAAGCGCGUGUAGGCGGCUUUGCAAGUCGGAUGUGAAAUCCCACGGCUCAACCGUGGAAGUGCACUCGAAACUGCAGGGCUAGAGUCCUGGAGAGGAAGGUGGAAUGCUUGGUGUAGAGGUGAAAUUCGUAGAUAUCAAGCGGAACACCGGUGGCGAAGGCGGCCUUCUGGACAGUGACUGACGCUGAGACGCGAAAGCGUGGGGAGCAAACAGG
rnacentral:rRNA from 1 species